GACGAACGCUGGCGGCGUGCUUAACACAUGCAAGUCGAACGAAGUGGCGCACGGGUGAGUAACGUGUAAUACACCUGCCCUUCAGAGGGGGACCACAGUUGGAAACGACUGCUAAUACCGCAUACUGAAGGAGGGGUUUGCGUCUGAUUAGCUAGCUGGAGGGGUAACGGCCCACCAAGGGGAAGAUCAGGAGCCGGUCUGGGAGGGUGAACCGCCACAUUGGGACUGGGACACGGCCCAGACUCCUACGGGAGGCAGCAGUUGGGAAUCUUCCGCAAUGGAGGAAAGUCUGACGGAGCAAAGCCGCGUGAGUGAUGACGGCCUUCGGGUUGUAAAGCUCUGUUAAUCGGGGCGCGGUACCGGAAUAGAAAGCCACGGCUAACUACGUGCCAGCAGCCGCGGUAAUAC
rnacentral:rRNA from 1 species